GUGACUUGAGUUCGAAAGGAGAUACUUCCUGGACAACUGCUAUAAAAACAACAACAAAUACUUUUAUUAAUUCGGGGAGCCUGGUCACCAACUGGAUGCUCAGGGGAGAUGGAACCCUGAGCAGCCCAUGUACAUGGAAGAUCUUUAUUGCAGAGAUCUUCAAACCAGGAAACUGAGGCUAAAGAGUUUAGUAUUCUGCCAAGGCCAGCUAAUAGUUACAGAGCAUGGUUCCAAAUUCAGAGCUGUCGGAAGCUUAAGCCCAUGUGAUGAACCACGAAUGUGAUUUUACCUCAUUUAAGCCUUGCAGCAAACUCUGCCAAGCUGUCUCUACCAGGCCAGAAUUUGGGGCAGGCAAGAUUUUCAGCAUCCCUAAAAUCACACUAAGAAGAUAAACAUGGAAACAGCUUGGAGCUGCCCUACCCAUAGUGAGGUGGUACUGACUGGAAGACAGCUUAAACGAUUUGGAGAAAAGUGGAAUACAUUAAUCUCAGAAAACUCUACCACCUGUAGAAAGAGAGCUAAAAUGGAGACAACCACAGGCAGUCUAAGAUACGCUGAACUACUACAGAAAAUAAUGCAGCAUGAAGGAAUGCUGGAAGGUAUGGGGUCAGAGCAAGCUGAUGGAGGGUCCUUCAUUUCCAAGCCACGAGUACAGCAGGAUGUAAGGCUUAGUUCAUAAGAACAUCUCCUGAAAGACAAUCUCUAUAAAAACUGUUUCAAUAGAAAGAAUGCAAGAUGUAACUGUUUAAUAAUAGGACUGAUAUUUUAAAAAACAAAUGAACGUAAUAGAAGACUAGAUGGAUGUGCUUCUCAAAGUCCUCUCUGUGGGAGGCUUCAUCCUCACUCUAGAUGUGUUGCCUGUAGCAGCUGUUAUUGAUUACCCGCCCAUAGCCUAUCCAUACUUACUCAUCAUUCCUUUACCUACCAGUGGCAUCCUAUUGGAAGCACCUGCGACUUUCUUAGGGCUUUCUCUUGGCCAAGCAUUGGAAGGCCAGCAGUAUUGAAAAGUUAAUAGUCUUGGAAGCACUGGCCCUCAACUAAUGACAAA
rnacentral:lncRNA from 1 species